rnacentral:rRNA from 1 species
UUUGAAAGCUGGCUCCUUCGGGGUCCGCAUUGUAAUUUGCAGAGGAUGCUUCGGGUGCGGCCCCUGUCUAAGUGCCCUGGAACGGGCCGUCAGAGAGGGUGAGAAUCCCGUCUGGGAUGGGGUGUCCGCGCCCGUGUGAAGCUCCUUCGACGAGUCGAGUUGUUUGGGAAUGCAGCUCUAAAUGGGUGGUAAAUUUCAUCUAAAGCUAAAUAUUGGCCGGAGACCGAUAGCGCACAAGUAGAGUGAUCGAAAGAUGAAAAGCACUUUGAAAAGAGAGUUAAACAGCACGUGAAAUUGUUGAAAGGGAAGCGCUUGCGACCAGACUCGCCCGCGGGGUUCAGCCGGCAUUCGUGCCGGUGUACUUCCCCGUGGGCGGGUCAGCGUCGGUUUGGGCGGCCGGACAGCCG